GAUGAAUGCUGGCGGCGUGCCUAAUACAUGCAAGUCGAGCGAACGGACGAGAAGCUUGCUUCUCUGAUGUUAGCGGCGGACGGGUGAGUAACACGUGGAUAACCUACCUAUAAGACUGGGAUAACUUCGGGAAACCGGAGCUAAUACCGGAUGAUAUUUUGAACCGCAUGGUUCAAAAGUGAAAGACGGUCUUGCUGUCACUUAUAGAUGGAUCCGCGCUGCAUUAGCUAGUUGGUAAGGUAACGGCUUACCAAGGCAACGAUGCAUAGCCGACCUGAGAGGGUGAUCGGCCACACUGGAACUGAGACACGGUCCAGACUCCUACGGGAGGCAGCAGUAGGGAAUCUUCCGCAAUGGGCGAAAGCCUGACGGAGCAACGCCGCGUGAGUGAUGAAGGUCUUCGGAUCGUAAAACUCUGUUAUUAGGGAAGAACAUAUGUGUAAGUAACUGUGCACAUCUUGACGGUACCUAAGCAGAAAGCCACGGCUAACUACGU
rnacentral:rRNA from 1 species